GGUUCCAUGGUGUAAUGGUAAGCACUUUGGACUUUGAAUCCAACGAUCCGAGUUCGAGUCUCGGUGGAACCU
rnacentral:tRNA from 1 species